GCUGGCGGCGUGCCUAAUACAUGCAAGUCGAGCGAACAGAUGAGGAGCUUGCUCUUUUGACGUUAGCGGCGGACGGGUGAGUAACACGUGGGUAACCUACCUAUAAGACUGGAAUAACUCCGGGAAACCGGGGCUAAUGCCGGAUAAUAUGUUGAACCGCAUGGUUCAACAGUGAAAGACGGUUUUGCUGUCACUUAUAGAUGGACCCGCGCCGUAUUAGCUAGUUGGUGAGGUAACGGCUCACCAAGGCGACGAUACGUAGCCGACCUGAGAGGGUGAUCGGCCACACUGGAACUGAGACACGGUCCAGACUCCUACGGGAGGCAGCAGUAGGGAAUCUUCCGCAAUGGGCGAAAGCCUGACGGAGCAACGCCGCGUGAGUGAUGAAGGUCUUCGGAUCGUAAAGCUCUGUUGUUAGGGAAGAACACAUGUGUAAGUCACUAUGCACAUCUUGACGGUACCUAACCAGAAAGCCACGGCUAACUACGUGCCAGCAGCCGCGGUAAUACGUAGGUGGCAAGCGUUAUCCGGAAUUAUUGGGCGUAAAGCGCGCGUAGGCGGUUUUUUAAGUCUGAUGUGAAAGCCCACGGCUCAACCGUGGAGGGUCAUUGGAAACUGGAAAACUUGAGUGCAGAAGAGGAAAGUGGAAUUCCAUGUGUAGCGGUGAAAUGCGCAGAGAUAUGGAGGAACACCAGUGGCGAAGGCGGCUUUCUGGUCUGCAACUGACGCUGAUGUGCGAAAGCGUGGGGAUCAAACAGGAUUAGAUACCCUGGUAGUCCACGCCGUAAACGAUGAGUGCUAAGUGUUAGGGGGUUUCCGCCCCUUAGUGCUGCAGCUAACGCAUUAAGCACUCCGCCUGGGGAGUACGGUCGCAAGACUGAAACUCAAAGGAAUUGACGGGGACCCGCACAAGCGGUGGAGCAUGUGGUUUAAUUCGAAGCAACGCGAAGAACCUUACCAAAUCUUGACAUCCUUUGACCGCUCUAGAGAUAGAGUUUUCCUCUUCGGAGGACAAAGUGACAGGUGGUGCAUGGUUGUCGUCAGCUCGUGUCGUGAGAUGUUGGGUUAAGUCCCGCAACGAGCGCAACCCUUGAACUUAGUUGCCAUCAUUCAGUUGGGCACUCUAAGUUGACUGCCGGUGACAAACCGGAGGAAGGUGGGGAUGACGUCAAAUCAUCAUGCCCCUUAUGAUUUGGGCUACACACGUGCUACAAUGGACAAUACAAAGGGCAGCGAAACCGCGAGGUCAAGCAAAUCCCAUAAAGUUGUUCUCAGUUCGGAUUGUAGUCUGCAACUCGACUACAUGAAGCUGGAAUCGCUAGUAAUCGUAGAUCAGCAUGCUACGGUGAAUACGUUCCCGGGUCUUGUACACACCGCCCGUCACACCACGAGAGUUUGUAACACCCGAAGCCGGUGGAGUAACCAUUUGGAGCUAGCCGUCGAAGGUGG
rnacentral:rRNA from 1 species